GCCCUGGUGGCUCAGGGGUUAAGAGCUUGGCUGCUAACCAAAAGGUUGUGAGUUCAAAUCCACCAGGUGCU
rnacentral:tRNA from 1 species